rnacentral:lncRNA from 1 species
AACAACAACAGCAACAGCAGUUUAUUAACAGUGGCGACAUGAAUUGUCGUGAUCGUAACAAUAUCGAUGACGAUAGUAGGCUGUUGACAAAUUUUAUUUUUGAAAACGAAAUGGCUAAUGACAACUUUGAUGCAAUAGAUAAAUUUGAGCAGUAUGCACAGUAUCAAAAUAAGAUAUUAAAUGACAACAGUAACAGCAACAGUAACAGCAACAGUAACAGUAACAGAAACAGCAACAGCAACAGUAACAACAACAGUAACGGCAACAGUAACGGCAACAGCAACAACAACAACAACAACAACAACAACCACUACAGUUAUAACAAAAAUAGUAAGAACUUUCGAAAAGAUAUACUAAAAAUAGACGAACAAGUAGAUGUGCCUGGUAGUUACAAUCAUGAAUCUAACAAUAAUACAUUAGAGAAAGAAGAAGAUUUUAGCAUAUUAUUAAAAAGCAGCGCUAUCGACAGUGAUACUUUAAAAAGUGACACGUUACAAAGUGACACAAUACAAAAUACGCAUGUAUUGCAAGAAUUAAAAAAAAACCAAAACAGUAACGACGAAUAUAACGAACAAGUGAUGGAUAUGUACCAAUAUGCUGAGGUUUACAGCGAUUACAAUAAAAGCAUUAUUAAUGAUUUAAAUUGUUCCGGCAGUGCUAUAAAUUAUAGUACAGACGAAAACGAGAAUUACAUGUCAAGAGAAGGAUAUGUUGACGGAUGUAUAAAACAAAAACAAGAACAUGGACUUAAACAGUGUUACCCUAAUAAGUAUCAAAAUUUUAACUCCAGCACUCCUGAUAGUAGCUCUAGCAUACUAAAAGGCUUCGAUAAUAAUUAUGAAAGCGGUAUAAUGGUUGCUCAAAAAAUUAAAAAAAAAACUUUUAAUAAAUUUUAUAAUGGAAAAGCAUUAGUUACAAAUAAAAAUCAGCAUAAUGGGAAAGAGGGACAAGAACUGGUAGAAUCCGAAUGUAUGAAUGGGGUAAUAAUGACAUCUCCAAACGGAUAUGUUAAUGAUGAACACUCCCACUGGCUUAAUGAACAUUCUAAAAAAAUAGACAACGAAAAGGGUGACCUUAGGGUAUAUAGCAGCACACAAGAUGACGAAAGCGGAGGGAGCGAUGGUAGCAACUGUAGUAACAGUAAUUGCAGUAAUCCUAACAAUACAUUAUUUAGUAAUGAUUCGUAUAAUAGCACGUACAUAUUGAAAAAAAAAAUAAUUUUGAGUUAAAAUUAUCAAGUAAAACAAAGGAUAUACAUAUUUUUAUUUUUAUUACUUUAUGUGAUAAUUUACAAGAAACAUUACUAAAUAAUUUUAAUAAAGAUAUACAGAUAAAAUGUCUUGAUAUAUUU